AGUGAACGCUGGCGGUAGGCCUAACACAUGCAAGUCGAACGGCAGCACAGUGAGAGCUUGCUCUUACGGGUGGCGAGUGGCGGACGGGUGAGGAAUACAUCGGAAUCUACUUUUUCGUGGGGGAUAACGUAGGGAAACUUACGCUAAUACCGCAUACGACCUACGGGUGAAAGCAGGGGAUCUUCGGACCUUGCGCGAUUGAAUAAGCCGAUGUCGGAUUAGCUAGUUGGCGGGGUAAAGGCCCACCAAGGCGACGAUCCGUAGCUGGUCUGAGAGGAUGAUCAGCCACACUGGAACUGAGACACGGUCCAGACUCCUACGGGAGGCAGCAGUGGGGAAUAUUGGACAAUGGGCGCAAGCCUGAUCCAGCCAUACCGCGUGGGUGAAGAAGGCCUUCGGGUUGUAAAGCCCUUUUGUUGGGAAAGAAAAGCAGCAGGUUAAUACCCCGCUGUUCUGACGGUACCCAAAGAAUAAGCACCGGCUAACUUCGUG
rnacentral:rRNA from 1 species